rnacentral:rRNA from 1 species
UUAUCGAGUUUUGAACGGGUUGUAGCUGGCCUCUCACGAGGCAUGUGCACGCCUGGCUCAUCCACUCUUAACCUCUGUGCACUUUAUGUAAGAGAAAAAAAUGGUGGAAGCUUCCAGGAUCUCGCGAGAGGUCUUCGGUUGAACAAGCCGUUUUUCUUUCUUAUGUUUUACUACAAACGCUUCAGUUAUAGAAUGUCAACUGUGUAUAACACAUUUAUAUACAACUUUCAGCAACGGAUCUCUUGGCUCUCGCAUCGAUGAAGAACGCAGCGAAAUGCGAUAAGUAAUGUGAAUUGCAGAAUUCAGUGAAUCAUCGAAUCUUUGAACGCACCUUGCACUCCUUGGUAUUCCGAGGAGUAUGCCUGUUUGAGUCUCAUGGUAUUCUCAACCCCUAAAUUUUUGUAACGAAGGUUUAGCGGGCUUGGACUUGGAGGUUGUGUCGGCCCUUGUCGGUCGACUCCUCUGAAAUGCAUUAGCGUGAAUCUUACGGAUCGCCUUCAGUGUGAUAAUUAUCUGCGCUGUGGUGUUGAAGUAUUUAUGGUGUUCAUGCUUCGAACCGUCUCCUUGCCGAGACAAUCAUUUGACAAUCUGAGCUCAAAUCAGGUAGGACUACCCGCUGAACUUAAGCAUAU